UGGAUCCCUGCGAUGUGCACGUUCAACCUCUAAUGUAAGUUGAUGCUAUUGGAAAGGACAUGAAAAUUAGCACUUUGGUCAGCUGUCACCCAUGGCCCAUGUCUAAUCCCACUUGUGACCACACAACAGAGGCCUGCUUUGGUAAAGAAAACGACCAACACAUGGAGUGGAGGCCAGCUAGACGUGUCGCUAGAUUCUAG